rnacentral:rRNA from 1 species
GACGAACGCUGGCGGCGUGCUUAACACAUGCAAGUCGAACGAUGAAGCUGGAGCUUGCUCCGGUGGAUUAGUGGCGAACGGGUGAGUAACACGUGAGUAAUCUGCCCUUGACUCUGGGAUAACUGCGGGAAACUGUAGCUAAUACCGGAUACGACACCUUCGGGCAUCCGAUGGGUGUGGAAAGAAUUUCGGUCAAGGAUGAACUCGCGGCCUAUCAGCUAGUUGGGGAGGUAAUGGCUCACCAAGGCGACGACGGGUAGCCGGCCUGAGAGGGUGACCGGCCACACUGGGACUGAGACACGGCGCAGACUCCUACGGGAGGCAGCAGUGGGGAAUAUUGCACAAUGGGCGAAAGCCUGAUGCAGCAACGCCGCGUGUGGGAUGAAGGCCUUCGGGUUGUAAACCUCUUUUAGUUGGGAAGAAGCGAAAGUGACGGUACCAACAGAAAAAGCACCGGCUAACUACGUGCCAGCCGCCGCCGUAA